CUGAGUAAAGCGGCGGACGGGUGAGUAAUGCUUGGGAAUCUACCUAGUAGUGGGGGAUAACGUGUGGAAACGCACGCUAAUACCGCAUACGUCCUACGGGAGAAAGCAGGGGACCUUCGGGCCUUGCGCUAUUAGAUGAGCCCAAGUCAGAUUAGCUAGUUGGUGAGGUAAUGGCUCACCAAGGCGACGAUCUGUAGCUGGUCUGAGAGGAUGAUCCGCCACACUGGAACUGAGACACGGUCCAGACUCC
rnacentral:rRNA from 1 species